ACUGCUUUUCGUCUAUCUCCGGAGUCAUGUAGUGUGUAAAGCUAAUGAGGCUGCCACGGCUCAUCAAAAGUAUAUACGAAUGUGAACUGUCUCACGGGGGAAGUCCAGACUUUGCAGUCUCAGGCCACCUCUUCUAGUUCCAUCAGGCAAACACCAAGGCCUUCCCCGGCCAGCUGUGAGAUAUGAUCCCUCCAGCGUGUCUCAGGUCUGUCCUGUGGCCUGCUCCCAGCUGGGCAUGCCCGGAACACCUGACCAGAGAGGUGUCCAGGAGACAUCCGGACUAGAUGCCCGAGCCACCGCAACUGGCUCUUCUCAAUGUGAAGGAGCAGUUCCUACCGGAUGACCGAGAUCCGCACCCUAUCUCAUAGAGUUCGUUGCACCUCAGAACCGCUACUUUAGCACCGCACUCAGCCUUCCUGGUGAAAGGGCGACACGGACCGGCCCGUGUGUGAUCCACCAAGUCCUUGCUGCUUGCAAUGUUGCUCAUACUUUGGGCAGAAGCUGCUUCCGGUUUCUUGGGAGACGUGGUUUGAAUUGUCUUGUACAAUUUGCACGAUGCCACCAAAGGCUCUCCUAAGUCCACUUGUUGGCUCUCUGUAAGGCGCAUCCUACUGUCCAUGUGAGUAUAAUGUAGAUCCACCUUCAUGACUAGUGAUUCCUAACAAAGAGCAAACAAAACACUCAUAUAAUCUCAUUUUACUGUAGUUAUUCUACUGGUAAAAAGGUUUGGAACACCCUGAAUCAAGCGUCUAGUCAUGGCCCAAAACAUAAAUCCAAGCUAUGCAAGAAUUGCAAUAGAAAAAAAGGCUACACAAGGUACAUAUUUAUUGGAACGUCUGCAACAGCUAAAAGAAACUUUCAGUAGAACAUUUGAAUUCCAUUGUAGAAAGAAUAGCACGAGUGCAUUGUGCCAAACUACAUGAGUCAAAAGUUUGGCAUUAAAGGGACUGGAGACAACUUGCUCCAAAUUACAUUUCAGGAAACCAAAAAGAAGAACACCACCAUCGUCUAGCGUAUGUUACAAACAGUGGUUUAAAAGAACAGAUUGUACAAAAAAAUGUCUAUAUUUUUCACAAUUACAAAUUAAACAGUAUAAAAAUUGUCAUAAAUUUUCGUUGGGCUCAAAUCAAAUAACUGGCUUCCAUGGCUGACAUUCACCGCUGUCUCAUAUCCACGUACAUGUCCGUAGCAAGCAAACAUAAACAAAAGCAGUCUCAGAGAAGCGACCAACAAUUUUGAGUCAUUGUGUGGUUAUGAUAGGUUAUACAGUGGUCCCUCAUUUAUUGCAGUUACGAAUGAGUGAACUUCCAUGAAGUAGGAAUCAAUAUUAAUAAAUUGAAUAUUUUCCUACUUAUGGCAUAUAGAAAACCUGUUUACGAUCUUUAAAUACAGUUUUUAACAUUAUUAGAGCCCUCAAGACAUGAAAUAACACCCAUAU